CCAACACAGUUUCCAAGAAUGGAAAAGCUUCUUCUCACUCUUUUUUCCAUCUGGCUACUACUACAACUCCCAAUGCUCUUCCAUCCACCAAUAAAAGAAGUGCUACUAGACAGCCUCUCCUCCGUGCACUGUCUUCUCCCUGCCUCUAUACCUUCCAAACUAGAAGAAAUAGGCUCCAUGGAGCAAAACCCACAGCCCCCUUUCCCAACCAGCAAACCCAUGGAAGCAACUACUAAGAAGUCCACUAGAUUCACCAAAAUGCACACCACUCCGAGGUGCAUACCAUCUGAUCUAGCAAUGAGAGCAACUCGAUCAUGUCUACAUGAGAUAGAAGAGGAAACAGAGCUUCUUAGGAAAAGUUUACAAUGCAGCAAAACUGAUGAAGAUGAAUAUACUCAUAUUGCUAGCACUAACACUACACAAUUUGAGCAGUGCAAAAGCCAAUCAAAAGGUACUUUCAUUUGUGCAUUUCAUAUUUCUGCAGAUCUUUCCUUUCCAUUUCAUUGUAGGAAAAGUAGACCAAAUUGUUUCAUGGGCACAAAGCAAAUCAGUUGGUGAAAUCACAGUUUCUAUUGGCACUGGUAAAGACUUCAAGAAGCCAAAGAUAGAGCUAUCAGUUGCUGUGAUAGGCUCUAUAUUUAGCUUUGUUGCUUCAGUGGACCUUGAAAAGUGUUUAAACAACAAGCUAAAAUUUACUAUAGCAGUCAUCUUGUCCACCAUUCUCUCUCUACUAUUUGAGACCUUAAUCAUGCUGUUCAAUACCUUCUACCCUGAUAAGGCAGCCUGCAUAUAUAAAUACAUCACCCUACCUAUUGCAACUAUUACUGAUCAUCUACCUGGCCCUCUAGAGAAGACCAGACCUUAUCUGAUAUCAUUCUACCAAGAUCUAUGCCGUGCAAUUACAUCGGGAACUCUUGUGUGGAUAUUAGCAUUUUGGUUUCUCAUGCCAUCUACUCAAGGUUCAUUCCAACUUAGAUUUAAGAACUCCAUCCUAAUUCAUAUCAUCGCUACUGUGGUACUACACAUUGUCAAAGCAAUAAGCUAUAUUUGGUUCAAGGGUAUUGCUUUAAUUGCCAAUCACUUGAAAGAGAAAACAAAUGCUUGUUCAAAUGGAGAAGAGCCACCUACUGAAGCCACUCAAACCAUUAAUGCACCUACUACUGUCUGAGGUAUUUGCAUAAUCUUUGCUGCAAGUAAUCAAUGUUUCCAAAAAAA